rnacentral:rRNA from 1 species
UCCUGACUCAGGACGAACGCUGGCGGCGUGCUUAACACAUGCAAGUCGAACGGUGAAGGGGCCUGCUUUUGUGGGUCCUGGAUGAGUGGCGAACGGGUGAGUAACACGUGAGUAACCUGCCCCCUUCUUCUGGAUAACCGCAUGAAAGUGUGGCUAAUACGGGAUAUUCUGGGUCUGUCGCAUGGUGGGCCUGGGAAAGAUUGCGCCUUUUUUGGUGUUUUUGGUGGGGGAUGGGCUCGCGGCCUAUCAGCUUGUUGGUGGGGUGAUGGCCUACCAAGGCGGUGACGGGUAGCCGGCCUGAGAGGGUGGACGGUCACACUGGGACUGAGACACGGCCCAGACUCCUACGGGAGGCAGCAGUGGGGAAUAUUGCACAAUGGGCGCAAGCCUGAUGCAGCGACGCCGCGUGAGGGAUGGAGGCCUUCGGGUUGUGAACCUCUUUCGCCAGUGAAGCAGGCCUGCCUCGUUUGUGGGUGGGUUGACGGUAGCUGGAUAAGAAGCGCCGGCUAACUACGUGCCAGCAGCCGCGGUAAUACGUAGGGCGCGAGCGUUGUCCGGAAUUAUUGGGCGUAAAGAGCUCGUAGGCGGCUGGUCGCGUCUGUCGUGAAAUCCUCUGGCUUAACUGGGGGCUUGCGGUGGGUACGGGCCGGCUUGAGUGCGGUAGGGGAGACUGGAACUCC